rnacentral:rRNA from 1 species
GAACUGCGAACGGCUCAUUACACCAGCCUUAAUUUACUUGACCUUGACACCCUACUUGGAUAACUGUGGUAAUUCUAGAGCUAAUACAUGCACCAAAGCUCCAAUCUCCCCAGAGCGGAGCGCAUUUGUUCGCCACAAAACCAAGCGCCUCAGGGCGUUCAGUGUUGACUCAGAACAACUAAGCUGAUCGCACGGUCUUGCACCGGCGACGUGUCUUUCAAGUGUCUGCCUUAUCAACUUUCGAUGGUAGUGUAUCUGACUACCAUGGUGAUGACGGGUAACGGAGGAUAAGGGUUCGACUCCGGAGAAGGGGCCUGAGAAAUGGCCACUACGUCUAAGGAUGGCAGCAGGCGCGCAAAUUACCCACUCUCGACGCGAGGAGGUAGUGACGAGAAAUAACGAGACCGUUCUCAUCUGAGGCCGGUCAUCGGAAUGGGUACAAUUUAAACCCUUUAACGAGUAUCUAUGAGAGGGCAAGUCUGGUGCCAGCAGCCGCGGUAAUUCCAGCUCUCAAAAUACAUAGAAUUAUUGCUGCGGUUAAAAAGCUCGUAGUUGGAUCUGUGCUGAGCGACCGGUCUGCCCACUGGGCACGCACUGGCUCGCCCGGCUUUCCCUGCCGGUCUCUCUCUGACGUUGGUUUUAACCGGCUGGCGUCAGUGGGCUGGCGAGUUUACUUUGAACAAAUCAGAGUGCUUCAAACAGGCGUCUCGCCUGAAUGUUCGUGCAUGGAAUAAUAGAAGAGGAUCACGGUCCGAUUUUAUUGGUUUUGCUGACCGAGAUAAUGGUUAACAGAGACAAACGGGGCCAUUCGUAUUGCUACGUGAGAGGUGAAAUUCUUGGACCGUAGCAAGACGGACUACAGCGAAAGCAUUUGGCAAGAAUGUCUUCAUUAAUCAAGAACGAAAGUCAGAGGUUCGAAGGCGAUCAGAUACCGCCCUAGUUCUGACCGUAAACGAUGCCAACUAGCGAUCCGCCGGCGGAUUCAUUCGCCCUGGUGGGGAGCUUCCCGGAAACGAAAGUCUUCCGGUUCCGGGGGAAGUAUGGUUGCAAAGCUGAAACUUAAAGGAAUUGACGGAAGGGCACCACCAGGAGUGGAGCCUGCGGCUUAAUUUGACUCAACACGGGGAAACUCACCCGGCCCGGACACCGUAAGGAUUGACAGAUUGAUAGCUUUUUCAUGAUUCGGUGGAUGGUGGUGCAUGGCCGUUCUUAGUUCGUGGAGCGAUUUGUCUGGUUUAUUCCGAUAACGAGCGAGACUCUGGCCUACUAAAUAGUUGGCACAUUGCCACUGUGUGCACAACUUCUUAGAGGGAUUUCGGGUCAGCCGCACGAAAUUGAGCAAUAACAGGUCUGUGAUGCCCUUAGAUGUCCGGGGCUGCACGCGCGCUACACUGGCAAAAUCAGCGUGCUUGUCCUCCCCCGGAAGGGGUUGGUAAACCGAUGAAAAUUUGCCGUGAUUGGGAUCGGACAUUGCAAUUAUUGUCCGUGAACGAGGAAUCCCUUGUAAGGGCGAGUCAUCAACUCGUCCUGAAUACGUCCCUGCCCUUUGUACACACCGCCCGUCGCUGCCCGGGACUGAGCCAUUUCGAGAAAACCGGGGAUUGUUGGCCUGACGGCUCUCGGGUCGUCUAGCCGAUGAGAACCGGCUUAAUCGCACUGGUUUGAACCGGGCAAAAGUCGUAACAAGGUAGCUGUAGGUGAACCUGCGGCAGGAUCA